GCAGUCGAGCGGGGAAAUGUAGCUUGCUACAUUACCUAGCGGCGGACGGGUGAGUAAUGCUUAGGAAUCUGCCUAUUAGUGGGGGACAACAUUUCGAAAGGAAUGCUAAUACCGCAUACGCCCUACGGGGGAAAGCAGGGGAUCUUCGGACCUUGCGCUAAUAGAUGAGCCUAAGUCGGAUUAGCUAGUUGGUGGGGUAAAGGCCUACCAAGGCGACGAUCUGUAGCGGGUCUGAGAGGAUGAUCCGCCACACUGGGACUGAGACACGGCCCAGACUCCUACGGGAGGCAGCAGUGGGGAAUAUUGGACAAUGGGGGGAACCCUGAUCCAGCCAUGCCGCGUGUGUGAAGAAGGCCUUUUGGUUGUAAAGCACUUUAAGCGAGGAGGAGGCUACCUAGAUUAAUACUCUGGGAUAGUGGACGUUACUCGCAGAAUAAGCACCGGCUAACUCUGUGCCAGCAGCCGCGGUAAUACAGAGGGUGCAAGCGUUAAUCGGAUUUACUGGGCGUAAAGCGUGCGUAGGUGGCCAAUUAAGUCAAAUGUGAAAUCCCCGAGCUUAACUUGGGAAUUGCAUUCGAUACUGGUUGGCUAGAGUAUGGGAGAGGAUGGUAGAAUUCCAGGUGUAGCGGUGAAAUGCGUAGAGAUCUGGAGGAAUACCGAUGGCGAAGGCAGCCAUCUGGCCUAAUACUGACACUGAGGUACGAAAGCAUGGGGAGCAAACAGGAUUAGAUACCCUGGUAGUCCAUGCCGUAAACGAUGUCUACUAGCCGUUGGGGUCUUUGAGACUUUAGUGGCGCAGCUAACGCGAUAAGUAGACCGCCUGGGGAGUACGGUCGCAAGACUAAAACUCAAAUGAAUUGACGGGGGCCCGC
rnacentral:rRNA from 1 species